AUGACGGUGUGCUCGGAGCCGUCCUUUAAGGUGGAACGCAAUCGCCGCUGCUGUCCAGCCCUCAAGGAAGACCCUAUGCUGCCGCCAGACCUUGUGGUUCUGGAGCCCCACGCUGGUGCGCAAGCAGGACAAGCGUGCCAUAAGCAUCAAGGGAUUUGGGGGACUUGGGGAACUUAUCUGCAGGUCAUGACACCCUCUCCUCUGGAUGUUGGUGUCAAAUCCUCCUCCAAGGUAACCAGACAAUCACAUUCAUACAGCUUUGCAAAACUUGUGUUUCUCAUUGUCUUUCACUCACGCCUGUACAAUAUUUCAUUUUGUUUUGUUCUGUUUUGA
rnacentral:rRNA from 1 species